UACGUAGGUGGCAAGCGUUGUCCGGAUUUACUGGGCGUAAAGAGCGCGCAGGCGGUCGUUCAAGUCGAGUGUGAAAGCCCCCGGCUCAACUGGGGAGGGUCACUCGAUACUGAUCGACUUGAAGGCAGGAGAGGGAAGCGGAAUUCCCGGUGUAGUGGUGAAAUGCGUAGAUAUCAGGAGGAACACCAAUUGCGAAGGCAGCUCGCUGGGACGUUACUGACGCUGAGACGCGAAAAGCGUGGGGGAGCAAACAGG
rnacentral:rRNA from 1 species